rnacentral:rRNA from 1 species
UGGGGAAUUUUGGACAAUGGGCGCAAGCCUGAUCCAGCCAUGCCGCGUGCGGGAAGAAGGCCUUCGGGUUGUAAACUGCUUUUGUACGGAACGAAACGGCUCUGUCUAAUACAUGGGGCUAAUGACGGUACCAUUUAUAAGCACCGGCUAACUACGUGCCAGCAGCCGCGGUAAUACGUAGGGUGCGAGCGUUAAUCGGAAUUACUGGGCGUAAAGCGUGCGCAGGCGGUUAUAUAAGACAGUUGUGAAAUCCCCGGGCUCAACCUGGGAAUUGAAUCUGUGACGGUAUAGCUAGAGUACGGUAGAGGGGGAUGGAAUUCCGCGUGUAGCAGUGAAAUGCGUAGAUAUGCGGAGGAACACCGAUGGCGAAGGCAAUCCCCUGGACCUGUACUGACGCUCAUGCACGAAAGCGUGGGGAGCAAACA